UACGUAGGGAGCGAGCGUUGUCCGGAAUUACUGGGUGUAAAGGGAGCGUAGGCGGGGAUGCAAGUUGGGUGUCAAAACUACCGGCUCAACUGGUAGUCGCACUCAAAACUGCAGCCCUUGAGUGAAGUAGAGGCAGGCGGAAUUCCUAGUGUAGCGGUGAAAUGCGUAGAUAUUAGGAGGAACACCAGUGGCGAAGGCGGCCUGCUGGGCUUUUACUGACGCUGAGGCUCGAAAGUGUGGGGAUCGAACAGG
rnacentral:rRNA from 1 species